UAAAAAUUGAACUACCUCAAUAGCUUUCUUUAAAAAUCCAAAUGACUGCACAGGGCAAUCUAUAGAACAGGUUUACCUUCAGUGGCUACCACACUUUUCCUGUUUCUGUGACAAAUAACACAAAGUAAGUUUUGUGGGCAUGCAAGUUUUUGUGCGAAAUCCUAAGUAAACUGCUAGCAGUCAAUAAAAACAAACAUUAUUAAAAUAUUAACUGUACU
rnacentral:lncRNA from 1 species